UACGUAGGGCGCAAGCGUUUGUCCGGAAUUAUUGGGCGUAAAGAGCUCGUAGGUGGCUUGUCACGUCGGGUGUGAAAGCUUGGGGCUUAACUCCAGGUCUGCAUUCGAUACGGGCUGGCUAGAGGUAGGUAGGGGGAGAACGGAAUUCCUGGUGUAGCGGUGAAAUGCGCAGAUAUCAGGAGGAACACCGGUGGCGAAGGCGGGUCUCUGGGCAGUAACUGACGCUGAGGAGCGAAAAGCGUGGGGGAGCGAACAGG
rnacentral:rRNA from 1 species